rnacentral:rRNA from 1 species
AGGAUGAACGCUGGCGGCGUGCCUAAUACAUGCAAGUCGAACGAGAUCUUCGGAUCUAGUGGCGAACGGGUGAGUAACACGUUGGUACCUACCCCGAAGUGGGGAAUAACUGCCCGAAAGGGUGGCUAAUACCGCAUAAUACCGCAAGGUUAAAGCAGUAAUGCGCUUCGGGAGGGGCCUGCGUCCAAUUAGCUAGUUGGUAGGGUAAUUGCCUACCAAGGCUACGAUUGGUAGCUGGAUCGAGAGGUUGACCAGCCACACGUGGACUGAGAUACGGCCACGACUCCUACGGGAGGCAGCAGUAAGGAAUCUUCCACAAUGGACGAAAGUCUGAUGGAGCAACGCCGCGUGCAGGAUGACGGUCUUCGGAUUGUAAACUGCUUUUAUAUGGGAAGAUUAUGACGGUACCAUAUGAAUAAGGACCGGCUAACUACGUGCCAGCAGCCGC